rnacentral:rRNA from 1 species
GACUCUCGAUAACUGAUAUCUCGGCUCUCGCAUCGAUGAAGAACGUAGCGAAAUGCGAUACUUGGUGUGAAUUGCUAAAUCCCAUGAACCAUCGAGUCUUUGAAUGCAAGUUGCGCACAAAGCCAUUAGGCCGAGGGCACGUCUUCCUGGGCGUCA